rnacentral:tRNA from 1 species
CAGAGAAUAGUUUAUAAAAAUAUUAGCUUUGGAAGUUAAAGAUAACUUUUGUUUUCUCUGA